UGUACUAGAAACAGUGAUUUACCAAACCUGAAGUGAUACUUUAGGUUCUCCAGCAAGUGAAUUAAUACCACACUGUGGAAAUACUCUGCAGUAAAAAACAUCCCUGAAGUAUAAAUAUAACAAUUAUGAUCUGUAAAAUGUAUAUAUACUAUUAAAAAUAAACUUCAUUGUGCAGUAAA